rnacentral:rRNA from 1 species
GACGAACGCUGGCGGCGUGCUUAACACAUGCAAGUCGAACGGAAAGGCGCUGUUAGCGUGGUGUGCUCGAGUGGCGCACGGGUAAGUAACAGGAGAGUAACCUGAACUUGCCUUAGGGAUAACUUUAGGCAACUGGGACUAAUACCGGAUAGGAGCUCACGCUGCCUGGUGGGUGCUGGAAAGAUGCGGCGGAGGGCGAUGGGAUAGCGGCUUAUCACCCGGUUGGUGGGGUAGUGGCUUACCAAGGGAUAGACGGGUAGCCGGCCUGAGAGGGUGACCGGCCACAUUGGGACUGAGCUACGGCCGGGAGUCCUACGGGAUGCAGGAGUGGGGAAGAGUGCACGAUGCGCCGAAGCCGCAUGCAGCAUCGCCGCGUGAGGGAUGACGGCCUUCGUGUUGUAGACCGCUUUCGCCGGUGCCGAAGCGUGAGUGACGGUAAUGUAUAAAGAAGCACCGGCUAACUACGUG